UUUGGUUAAGUUAGAAAGGGCGCACGGUGGAUGCCUUGACACUAGGAGUCGAUGAAGGACGGGACUAACGCCGAUAUGCUUCGGGGAGCUGUAAGUAAGCUUUGAUCCGAAGAUUUCCGAAUGGGGAAACCCACCAUACGUAAUGGUAUGGUAUCCUUAUCUGAAUACAUAGGGUAAGGAAGACAGACCCAGGGAACUGAAACAUCUAAGUACCUGGAGGAAGAGAAAGCAAAUGCGAUUUCCUGAGUAGCGGCGAGCGAAACGGAACAUAGCCCAAACCAAGAGGCUUGCCUCUUGGGGUUGUAGGACAUUCUAUACGGAGUUACAAAGGAACGAGGUAGACGAAGCGACCUGGAAAGGUCCGUCGUAGAGGGUAACAACCCCGUAGUCGAAACUUCGUUCUCUCUUGAAUGUAUCCUGAGUACGGCGGAACACGUGAAAUUCCGUCGGAAUCUGGGAGGACCAUCUCCCAAGGCUAAAUACUCCCUAGUGAUCGAUAGUGAACCAGUACCGUGAGGGAAAGGUGAAAAGCACCCCGGAAGGGGAGUGAAAGAGAUCCUGAAACCGUGUGCCUACAAAUAGUCAGAGCCCGUUAACGGGUGAUGGCGUGCCUUUUGUAGAAUGAACCGGCGAGUUACGAUCCCGUGCGAGGUUAAGCUGAAGAGGCGGAGCCGCAGCGAAAGCGAGUCUGAAUAGGGCGUUUAGUACGUGGUCGUAGACCCGAAACCAGGUGAUCUACCCAUGUCCAGGGUGAAGUUCAGGUAACACUGAAUGGAGGCCCGAACCCACGCACGUUGAAAAGUGCGGGGAUGAGGUGUGGGUAGCGGAGAAAUUCCAAUCGAACCUGGAGAUAGCUGGUUCUCCCCGAAAUAGCUUUAGGGCUAGCCUUAAGUGUAAGAGUCUUGGAGGUAGAGCACUGAUUGGACUAGGGGUCCUCAUCGGAUUACCGAAUUCAGUCAAACUCCGAAUGCCAAUGACUUAUCCUUAGGAGUCAGACUGCGAGUGAUAAGAUCCGUAGUCAAAAGGGAAACAGCCCAGACCGCCAGCUAAGGUCCCAAAGUGUGUAUUAAGUGGAAAAGGAUGUGGAGUUGCUUAGACAACUAGGAUGUUGGCUUAGAAGCAGCCACCAUUUAAAGAGUGCGUAAUAGCUCACUAGUCGAGUGACUCUGCGCCGAAAAUGUACCGGGGCUAAAUACACCACCGAAGCUGCGGAUUGAUACCGAAUGGUAUCAGUGGUAGGGGAGCGUUCUAAGGACAGUGAAGUCAGACCGGAAGGACUGGUGGAGUGCUUAGAAGUGAGAAUGCCGGUAUGAGUAGCGAAAGACGGGUGAGAAUCCCGUCCACCGAAUGCCUAAGGUUUCCUGAGGAAGGCUCGUCCGCUCAGGGUUAGUCAGGACCUAAGCCGAGGCCGACAGGCGUAGGCGAUGGACAACAGGUUGAUAUUCCUGUACCACCUCUUUAUCGUUUGAGCAAUGGAGGGACGCAGAAGGAUAGAAGAAGCGUGCGAUUGGUUGUGCACGUCCAAGCAGUUAGGCUGAUAAGUAGGCAAAUCCGCUUAUCGUAAAGGCUGAGCUGUGAUGGGGAAGCUCCUUAUGGAGCGAAGUCUUUGAUUCCCCGCUGCCAAGAAAAGCUUCUAGCGAGAUAAAAGGUGCCUGUACCGCAAACCGACACAGGUAGGCGAGGAGAGAAUCCUAAGGUGUGCGAGAGAACUCUGGUUAAGGAACUCGGCAAAAUGACCCCGUAACUUCGGGAGAAGGGGUGCUUUCUUAACGGAAAGCCGCAGUGAAUAGGCCCAAGCGACUGUUUAGCAAAAACACAGCUCUCUGCGAAGCCGUAAGGCGAAGUAUAGGGGGUGACACCUGCCCGGUGCUGGAAGGUUAAGGAGAGGGGUUAGCGUAAGCGAAGCUCUGAACUGAAGCCCCAGUAAACGGCGGCCGUAACUAUAACGGUCCUAAGGUAGCGAAAUUCCUUGUCGGGUAAGUUCCGACCCGCACGAAAGGUGUAACGAUUUGGGCACUGUCUCAACCAGAGACUCGGUGAAAUUAUAGUACCUGUGAAGAUGCAGGUUACCCGCGACAGGACGGAAAGACCCCGUGGAGCUUUACUGUAGCCUGAUAUUGAAUUUUGGUACAGUUUGUACAGGAUAGGCGGGAGCCUUUGAAACCGGAGCGCUAGCUUCGGUGGAGGCGCUGGUGGGAUACCGCCCUGACUGUAUUGAAAUUCUAACCUACGGGUCUUAUCGACCCGGGAGACAGUGUCAGGUGGGCAGUUUGACUGGGGCGGUCGCCUCCUAAAGUGUAACGGAGGCGCCCAAAGGUUCCCUCAGAAUGGUUGGAAAUCAUUCGUAGAGUGCAAAGGCAUAAGGGAGCUUGACUGCGAGACCUACAAGUCGAGCAGGGACGAAAGUCGGGCUUAGUGAUCCGGUGGUUCCGCAUGGAAGGGCCAUCGCUCAACGGAUAAAAGCUACCCCGGGGAUAACAGGCUUAUCUCCCCCAAGAGUCCACAUCGACGGGGAGGUUUGGCACCUCGAUGUCGGCUCAUCGCAUCCUGGGGCUGUAGUCGGUCCCAAGGGUUGGGCUGUUCGCCCAUUAAAGCGGUACGCGAGCUGGGUUCAGAACGUCGUGAGACAGUUCGGUCCCUAUCCGUCGUGGGCGUAGGAAAUUUGAGAGGAGCUGUCCUUAGUACGAGAGGACCGGGAUGGACGCACCGCUGGUGUACCAGUUGUUCUGCCAAGGGCAUAGCUGGGUAGCUAUGUGCGGAAGGGAUAAGUGCUGAAAGCAUCUAAGCAUGAAGCCCCCCUCAAGAUGAGAUUUCCCAUAGCGUAAGCUAGUAAGAUCCCUGAAAGAUGAUCAGGUUGAUAGGUUCGAGGUGGAAG
rnacentral:rRNA from 1 species